GCGCGUGAGGGUAAUCUUGUUGUGACAUCUGUCACCCCAUUGAUUGCCAGGGUCUGUCUGGCGGAUCUGGCUGGCUAGCUGGUGUCUUCUUCCUCCCUCAGCACUCUAGUGUGUGCCUUUCAAACUUGUACACUUGGUCGAUCAAAGAGGACGACCACCUUGGUGGAGGAAGACUGUUUCCUCGGUCAGCAAUACACUAGUAGCUGUGCUUUCCUGCCAGAACCUCCAGACAAGCGUGCAGGAUAAAUGUAGAAACUACACAGGUCAUGAUUGCACAGCUGAUGUUUAAUCAAGUGAAUGCACUCACACGAAAAGCGAAAAGACUCCUUUACCUU
ensembl:misc_RNA 7SK 7SK RNA